UCAAAAUCCUUUGCUUCUUUUAUAUAUACAGAAACUCUUUGUGGGUCCCUACCCAGCCUUUAUCAAAAGACAACAUUUUUGACAUGUUUUUUUAGCAGUACUCUCAGGAUGUUGUUUAUUAAGACACACACACUGUUGAAUGAACAUGCCCUGCCAACUGAACCAGAACAAAGCAGAAUGAAAGCCUGACAAAAGUGCAGAAAGUCUUUACUCUACAUGACACCAUCCUUACUUACAUUGAACCGGUUGGUCUGAAUUUGAGGGUGAAAAUCUACCCUAAAAUCCACUAACCUCUGCACUACUUACAAAGAUGGAUAUGUGAUCUAAUCAAUGAUUUAAAGCAUUGACAGCCCGUGUGUCAUAAAUAAGAGAUGAGGCAAACACAUCACAACUGAUGCCAUGUCCCAGAAGUGGAAAACCAGCACUCCCAAUGUUUCAUUAAGAACAUUUGACCACACAUGGUGCUCAGGUGCAUAACCCAACCCUACUUUUUUUUUUCUUUUUCUUUUUUUUUUUAAAGGGAACAGAUUGUUGAACCUUUAGACAAAAUAUUAAAAAAAUAAUAAUUAAAUAAAGUUUGUAUGUGCGUUUUGAUGCAUAAGGCUUUUAUGGCACAUGUAGUAUGAUACAGAAGAAUAUGGAGCUCAUACUCCAGAAGAAAAAGACACUACUUUUUUUUUUUCUUCAGAGGCCCAAACUGAGCAAAAAAUAUGCAAUUUGGCACAGUUGCUGAUAUUUAAAUGCUUAGUUUUAUGAUAAUACAAUGAUAAUUUAGAGAUGUACAAAUAAACGAUCCUCAAAAGCCUGAUGUAUCCUGUUUGACACUCACAUUUUAGCACUCUUUUUUUUUUUAAUGGAUAAUCUUGUAGUAUUCUCAUAGCUUUGUAAAAUUACAGGUGAACCACUGAUGUCACAUGAACUAUUUUACCGAUGUCCUUGCUACGUUUCUGUGCUUUGAUCAUGGUAGUAUCCUUGCUGUCUAUGGAGGGUCAUAGAGCUCUCAAAUUUCAUCAAAAAUAUCUUAAUUUGUGUUCCGAAGAUGAACGAAGGUCUUACAGGUUUGGAAUGACAUGAGGGUGAGUAAUUAAUGACAGAAUUUUCAUUUUUGGGUGAACUAUCCCUUUAAAAUACUAACAAUAUCAAAGCUGUUUACUUAAAAAUCAGUACAGAUUUCACAGAAAAAAGACCACAGCCCUCACGUCUCAAUUAUAUUUUGGUCUUGAGAUCUGACUCUGGUCCCUCCUUUAAACCAUCUUUGAUAUGUUUUUGCCCACCAGGCAAAAAUCGUAUAUCUAAUUGCUUAAUAAUAGUACUCAACAAGCUGCUUGAUUUGAGGUUUCAUUCGCAUUUAUAGCACAGGUGCAGGACAAGUUAUGAAGUAAUAAACUAUGCAAAUUGUUCAAUAUGAAUACAACAGUUGUUAUAACAUCAGCCCUCAUUGUCUCAGAAGCAUGAAAAUGGUUCCAUCCCUGUUUUUCAUCCAUGUGCUCAUGAUUCUUUUUAGCAUUCAUUACUAGUGAUGGGAAGUCUUUCCACAAAUCGUUUCUAAUGAAAAGUGUGUUUCAAUGAACUGUUUAACAAAAAAAUUAUAAAAAUGAUUUAGCAAUUCAUUGCAUAUUACACUACCUUUCAAGUUUGGGGUCAAUAAGAUUUUUAUUUAUUUAUUUAUUUUUUAAAUGUUUUUUCAGUCUCUUAUGUUCACCAAUUGUGUAUUCAGCUGAUCAAAAAUACAGUAAAAACAGUAAUAUUGUGAAAUAUUAUUACAAUUUAAAAUAACUAUUUUCAGUUUUAAUAUAUUUUAAAGUGUAAUUUAUUCCUGUGAUGAUGCAAAGCUGAAUUUUCAGCAUCGUUACUCCAGUCUUCAGUGUCACAUGAUCCUUCAGAAGUCGAUGUUUUGUUAGUAAGUUAAUAGUUAGUAAGGUAGUUGUUAAGUUUAGGUGUUGGGAUUAGGGAUGUAGAAUAAGGUCUUGUAGAAUAAGGUAUUAAUAUGUGCUUAAUUACUACUAAUAAAUGGCUAAUAUUCUAGUAACAUGCAUGCUAAUAAGCAACUAGUUAAGAGACACUAAAAUAAAGUGUUACCUUAAUUUCUUUUUUAUUAAUUAUUAGGUAAGGGUGCUUAUUGUAAUUUAUUGUAAAAAUCAUAUUCAGCUCAAUGAAUCAGUGAGCUGUUGACACUAGACUGUUUAUUUAUGAACCAACUGAAUGGAUUAAUUGAAAAUAUCUGACUCAGAAGAAUUAUUUGUCCACAAACCGAACAUCUCCAUUCAUUAUGUAAUGUGUUAGCAUCACAGACUAUUCAACAAAGGGCUUAAAACAGCUCAGCACAACAUGGGCCAUUAGGAAAAAAUACUCCUUAGACGUCUUCUCUUGUUGUCUCAGCCACCCUGCCCCAUCCGUUCGGCUUUGUCUGAUUGAUCUAAGUAGGUUUAUCCAUCCUCAGGCUGUAAACAAGCACCGUGUCUUCCACCCCACACAGGCCCGAUCAAUAGCGCCGUGACUUUGUCAUUAUGCCCCUGCCAUCUGAUUGAUGAUCUCACUCCAUCAUAAGUAAGCUGUACAGAGAGCCAGCCUUCAGCAGGAAGCGUGCCAGACAAAACAUCAGUCCCGCACUUGUGUUUCUGAGCUGGAUUAGGCCAUGAAUUCCCACAGGACUUGCAUAUUCUAUUAGUGCAACAGCGUCUGGAAAAGGGCUGAUGGCAACCGUUCAUAGUCUGUUCUCAUAUGAAACUAUAAAACUUUAAUGAUGCCUUGAUUGAGAAUUAUAAAGAGCUAAUAAACAGCAGGAGACCACAUGAAACACGGUUUGAGGGCUUUUCUUCAUCCAUUAAGACAAAUGGUCCUUUAAAAAUAAAAUCUUUGAAUGUAUAACUUUGGAGUCAUGCAGUAGUAAUUUUUCUGUUGAUUACACUGGGAAACCCUACUGAGGUAAGCAUUAUUACUAUUGCUUAUGCUUGAGAGAUUUGAACAAACCCCUGGCUCUAUAGUAUUAACUUGUCAUGCAGUGUUCGUUGUGUUUGGAAAGGUGUUGUGAUAUUUUUGACCUGAUUUUUGCCAAACAGUUAAACAAGGGGGGAAAAAAACACAGACUCUCACUGAAAGGAGGGACCCAAGCCAUAUCUGUACACUGUUAGACUUUACUGUCAUUUCUACAGUUAUUUACUGUAUAUCACCCAGUAUAAUACUGCAAAUUCCCUUUACAGUAAAUAACUGUAAUACCCUUUGCAUCAUGGGAAUUUUCUGUGACGUCAGACCCCACAUACAGAGACUUACUGUAUUUUUAAAAAUUGCUGUAUACUACUGUAUUUGCUGUAACGGCCUCUUUGGCGCCAUUCUAUUGAGGUUGUUUUAUUUUCCUCAUUUCUUACAUUUGGAUUGACCCGAUUUGCCCUGGACCGUGUCUACAAUGCCGCAACAGCUUGGGACUGACUACACUGGAUGUGUUACAUCACUUGUAAUGAUUGGAAAAUCUGUUUGUCCUUCAUGUCAGAAACAGCGCGAGCGCUUGGAGUGUAUCUGUACGUCAGAAAUAUACCGGGGCAUCACUUUACUGUCCGCAUCCAGUCAGGUCUAGAUAGUAUAUAUAAUGGGUUCUAUAUUGUCUUUUGUCAACUCGCGUCCGAGGAAGACACGGAAGCAGCGGGGCAGCGCCGCGGGUUUUUCCCAGGGAUGAACCCGCGAGAGCAGAAGAGGUCCGGAGAACAUCUACGCUGUGUGUUGAUGCACCUUAAUAAGACCAGCAAGCAAGGCAACUGCAAUGAAGCAUCAAGUAAGAGCAUGUCAGCCACCCUGAGACUGAUAAUUCAUGAGAAGACAUUUCUGUCACUAACAAAGUGGAUGGUGAGCAAAGGUGGUGGCCACGUUUUGGAGCAGCACCUGGGUUUUGCAGAUGGCUAUGUAUUCUUUGGCUGCUUGUCUUUUUUCUCCAUUAUGUUUCUGUUGACUAAAUAUUCUUUGUGAGGAUGAAUCCAGAGGACACAACAUAAUGCACUGCAAACUGUCCUAAGACAGGAGAAAUGGUGAAGAUGCACUGUUCCAGCAUUGGAAGACUGUAUUUUUAAGUGUCAUACAUGCAAUGUUUUAAAUAAAGCAUUUGAUAUUUUGUAAUUAUUGUGUCUGUUUUAAUUGAAUGCCAGUAGUACCUAUGUAGAGUAAAAAUAAAAUGAAGUCUAUAUAAAAAUUAUAAAAGCUAAUGAAAUCUAUAUUAAAAUGAAUGAAUUACAGUAGUAUACUGAUUAAUUGGAUUUUUUAAACAGUACUUGACUGUAAAACAGUAUAGUUUUCUACUGUAAAUCUUAAUUGCAGUAACCUACCGGCAACAUUGUUGGCAGUAAGUUACUGUAAAAACCCUUUGAAAUGUCUAACAGUGUAGACCAGAAUAUCACAGACUUAGUGGUGAGCUCUUUUGACUUUGGCCAAUAAAAACCACUGAGCAACAUCCUAGAAACCAGAGUUAUUUUAAUAUUAUUUAUUUAUAGUAUCCAUGGUAUUAUUAUAUUUUCAUUUUAAGUUUUAGUCAUUUUGUUAAAAAUAUUUUUAAAAAUAUAUUUAUAUACAAGUCAUUUAAUAUAUGAUUUUUUUUUUUUUUUAAUAAAAAUAUUUUUGUUUUAUUGCCCUGGUUUACACCCUAGCAACCUCACAUACUAAAUCACUCACAACACUAUAGCAACAUAUAUAGCUGCUUUGGAAAAAAUAAAAACAAAAUAUUUUCUGAAAAAGGCAAGAAAUUAAAAGGAAGACUUACAAAAUCUAGUAUUUGUAUUCAUGUAAUAGCUUUUCGGUCAUUUAACUUUGUGUUUGUGUAAUAGUAGUUUUAUCUACAGUUCAUCUAUCUAUAUAUCUAUCUAUCAAUUGAUUGUCAUUAGAGCAGUGAUUUAUAUUAUGUACGUGUGUGUGUGUGUGUGUGUGUGUGUGUGUGUGUGUGUGUGUGUGUGUAUACAGUAUAUAUACAUACACACGUGGUCAGAAUUGUUGGUACUUUUUGAAUACUUUUUGAAACCUCCAUUUGCCAGUUUAACAGCUCUAAAUUUUCUCCUAUAAUGCCUGAUGAGGUUAGAGAACACCUGACAAGAGAUCAGAGACCAUUCCUUCAUCCUGAAUCACUCCAGACCCUUUAUAUUCCCAGCUCCAUGUUGGUGCUUCUUCUCUUCAGUUCACCACUCAUUUUCUAUAGGGUUCAGGUCAGAGGACUGGAAUGGCCAUAGCAGAAGCUUGGUUUUGUGCUCAGUGACCCAUUUUUGUGUUGUUUUCGAGGUUUGUGUUUGGAUUAUUGUACGGUUGGAAGAUCCAAACAUGGCCCAUUAUAAGAUUUCUAACAGAGUCAGUCACUUUUUGAUUUUUUAUCUGUUGGUAUUUGAUAGAAUCCAUGAUGCCGUGUGUCUAAACAAGAUGUCCAGGACCUCCAGCAGAAAUAUAGGCCCACAACAUCAAAAAUACAGCAGUAUAUUUCAUUGUAAACAUGGGGUACUUUUUAUCCCUGCGUUGCUGCUAAAAAGCUAAAUUUUUAGUUUCAUCUGACCAUAGAAGCCAGUGCCAUUUGAAGUUCCAGUCGUGUCUGAUAACUGAAUAUGCUGGAGAUCAUUUUUUGGUGAAAGCAUUUUCUUUUCUUGAUUUUUUUUUUUUUUCUUGAAACCCUCCCAAACAACAUGUGGUGAUGUAGGUGCUGUUUGAUAAUUUUUUUGAAGGUUUUCUGACCCCCAGACUCAACUAUUUUCUGCCGUUUUCAAGCUGUGGUCCUUGUAGAGUAUUUAGCCACUCAAACUCUCCUUCUCACCAUGCAUUGGGACGAUAUAGACACACGUCCUCUUCCAGGCAGUUUCGUAACAUUUUAUGUUGAUUGAAAAUUCUUAAUUAUUGCCCUGAUGGUGGAAAUGGGAACUUUCACUGCUCUAGCUCUUUUCUUAAAACCACUUCACUAAUUUGUGAAGCUCAAUUAUCUUUUGCUGCACAUCAGAAAUAUAUUCUUUGGUUUUUCUCAUUGUGAUGGAUGAUUAAGGGAAUUUGGGCUUUGUUUUCCCUCCUAUUUAUAUUUCUGUGAAACAGGAAGCCAUGGCUAGAUAAUUUCAUGUUCAUAAUCACGCUGGUGUGCUCAAAAUUGUGAAUAUGAAUGGGAAUAUACUUCAGAGAUAUUUUACUCAUAAGAAUUUCUAGGGGUGCCAAUAAUUGUAUCCAACAUGUAAAAACAUUUAUUUCAUAAUGAUAUUUCCCCCCAUUUUAAAUUCUUAUUCUCCAAUGAAAGCUUAGAUUUUUGUGAUUAAAAAAAAAAAAAAAAAAAAAA